UAGGGAAUCUUCCACAAUGGACGAAAGUCUGAUGGAGCAACGCCGCGUGAGUGAAGAAGGGUUUCGGCUCGUAAAACUCUGUUGUUAAAGAAGAACAUAUCUGAGAGUAACUGUUCAGGUAUUGACGGUAUUUAACCAGAAAGUCACGGCUAACUACGUGCCCG
rnacentral:rRNA from 1 species